UACAGCCAUAUCAUUGUUGAAACACUGGUUCUCUUACGAUCACCGAAGUUAACGUCGAUCCUGGUCAGUAUCUAGAUGGUUGACCACUUGGGAAUGCCAAGUGCUGUAAG